AACGAACGCUGGCGGCAAGCCUAACACAUGCAAGUUGAGCGAAUGAAAUUCCUUCGGGAACGGAUUUAGCGGCGGACGGGUGAGUAACACGUGGGCAACCUGCCUCAUAGAGGGGAAUAGCCUUCCGAAAGGGAGAUUAAUACCGCAUAAGAUUGUAGUACCGCAUGGUACAGCAAUUAAAGGAGCAAUCCGCUAUGAGAUGGGCCCGCGGCGCAUUAGCUAGUUGGUGAGGUAACGGCUCACCAAGGCGACGAUGCGUAGCCGACCUGAGAGGGUGAUCGGCCACAUUGGGACUGAGACACGGCCCAGACUCCUACGGGAGGCAGCAGUGGGGAAUAUUGCACAAUGGGGGAAACCCUGAUGCAGCAACGCCGCGUGAGUGAUGACGGCCUUCGGGUUGUAAAGCUCUGUCUUCAGGGACGAUAAUGACGGUACCUGAGGAGGAAGCCACGGCUAACUACGUGCCAGCAGCCGCAGUAACAC
rnacentral:rRNA from 1 species